UCAAACUUGGUCAUUUAGAGGAAGUAAAAGUCGUAACAAGGUUUCCGUAGGUGAACCUGCGGAAGGAUCAUUAUUGAAUAAACUGCCUUGAUGGGUUGUAGCUGGCCUCUUGAGGCAUGUGCACGCCUGUCUUGACUCUAUUCAUCCACCUGUGCACCUAUUGUAGUCUCCUACUCUUUGACGGUCAAGAAAAUUAGGCUUUUUUCAGUUGAAACACCACUGGAUUUGAGGACUGCCAAGCGGCUUUUCUCUCCCUGGCCUUAUGAAAUUGAUUCUUGUCAAGGAAAGGAGGCUAUGUCUUUUAUCAUAAACUAAGUAUGUUGCCAGAAUGUAUUCAUAUGGGCCUUUGUGCCUUUAAAACUUUAUACAACUUUCAGCAACGGAUCUCUUGGCUCUCGCAUCGAUGAAGAACGCAGC
rnacentral:misc_RNA from 1 species